rnacentral:lncRNA from 10 species
GGGAUUACAGGCGUGAGCCACCGCGCCUGGCCUGUUUCUUUAAUAAUUGAGCAUAGGUACGUUAUAUUAACUCAACUUUUAUUUCAAGAGAGAAAAGGUGGGUGGAACAAAAUACGUGUUAUGAAAAGGAGAUGCUGAUGGACGUGUGGGUGGUUCCCCCCUUUGGGCAGUUGUGUGUGAAUCACGCUGCCGUGAGCAUUUAUGGAUAUGUAUGUGUUUGAACACCUGUUUUCCAUUCUCCUGUGUAUAUACCUGGGACUGGGAUUGCUGGGUCCUAUGCUGACUUUGUAACUCCCUGUGUUUUAUUUCUGGAAGUAUAGCCAGACUUUUCCACAGUGGUGGUACCAUUAUACAUUCCUACUAGCACUAUAUGAAGAUUCCAAUUCCCCUUUUUUACGAGACAGGGUCUCGCUGUGUCUCCCAGGCUGGAAUGCAGUGGCGCGAUCAUAGCUCACUGCAGCCUCGAACUCCAGAGCUCAAGCCAUCCUCCCACCUUGGCCUCCCAAGUUGCUAGGUCUACAGGCAUGAGCCACCAUGCCUGGCCUUGGUAUACCAUUUGGUGGUGAAUUUUGUUAUGUAUCAUUUCCCAUCGUUUUAAAGACAUUUUUAAAGGGGAGGGGGAGCUGUGGGGGCAUCACGGGAAUGAGAGCCACUGGGGCAGAAACAGGGAGCUUCUUGAGAGCAAGUUUAGGAGCCAACUGCCUGGCACCCAGCCUUCUCACUACCUGCCUGCCCACGGGCAGGUCAUUACUGUCUGCUUUAGCUGCUUUAACUGGAAGGAGGGAGUAAUCAUUGUAGUUGCCAUAUGGGAUCUUUACAAAGAUUAGUUAAUCCACAUAAAAAGCUUGGCAUACAGUAAAUGCUUAAUACAUGUUGGCAGGCCCUGGGGAGCCCUACAGGAAUAGAGCCUCGGGUGCUCAUGUUUCACAGGGGCCCUGGCGAAAUGCAAUGCCAGAGGUCUGGAGGGGGUCCCGGUGAGGAAAUGACCAGCUCCAGCCAUACAGAAAGAAAACAGCAGAAUCAGAAUUAAGACCUUAUGGCCUGGCGCGGUGGCUCAUGCCUCGAAUCCCAGCACUUCUGGAGGCUGAGGCGGGUAGGUCACCUGUGGUCAGGAGUUCGAGACCAGCCUGGCCAACAUGGGGAAACCCCCAUUUCUACUAAAAAUACAAAUAUUAGCCAGGCAUGGUGGUGGGUGCCUGUAAUCCCAGCUACUCGAGAGGCUGAGGCAGGAGACUUCUUGAACCCUGGGGGGCGGAGGUUGCAGUGAGCCGAGAUCGCGCCACUUCACUCUAGUCCCGGGUGAAAGAGCGAAACUCCAUCUCAAAAAAAAAAAAAAAAGAAAGAAAAAGUAGAAUUAAGACCUUACGAAAUGUCUCCACAGCUACAAAAUGUGUCAACUUCACCAAUUGCUAAAUUUUGUAUUCAUAAAGAUUUCAUUACAUUUCAAAACAGCUCCUAGGUUAGAUUUUCUUAUUCCCAAGGAACUCCCAAGCCUCCACGAUGAUUGCCAGUCUCAAAUUGCAUGCAUGACUCCUAGUCACAUAAUUUCAAAGGCAAAGUUAGAACAGGGCCUUUUGAUUCCAAAAAAACCCAACAACCAUAAAGUCGACGUUUAACGGGGAUGCCGUGCCUUUUAACAGGUUUGCCGGAUUGAGGGGCAGGGCUUCCUUGAGUCCCAGUGACCCACGGGAGAGGUGAGGCUGUUCCUACCUGGUCAUACGAUGGUGACAAAUCAGGGUUCGGAUUCUGCUCUCACUGCUGGGUGGGUUCAGACCUCAGCCCUUCAGCCAUUUCUUUGGUCAGCUGGGUGGACUAGGAGAGCUUUUCUCUUUGUUUUUUGAGAUGAAGCCGUGCCGUGUUGCCCAGGCUGGAGUGCAGUGGCACAAUCUUGGCUCACUGCAACCUCCGCUUCCCGGGUUCAAGCGAUUCUCCUGCUUCAGCCUCCCAAGUAGCUGGGAUUACAGGUACCUGCCACCAUGCCUGGCUAGUUUUUGUAUUUUUAGUAGAGAUGGGGUUUCCCCAUGUUGGCCAAGCUGGUCUCAAACUCGUGGCCUCGGGUGAUUCUCCUGCCUUGGCUUCCCAAAGUGCUGGGAUGACAGGCAUGAGCCACCACACCCAGCCACGAAUUCCUUCACCUUAAUCACAUCUGCAAGGUCCCUUUGUCUUGGAGACCAAUGUGUUCAUAGGUCCCAGGGAUUAGGACGUGGGCAUCCUUGUCCGUCACCCUGGUGUACAACAGAAUCCACUUUGGGAAGCACCUGAUGUGCUUACCAGUCAAGCAAGUUAGACAUCUCUAGUCCCCCUGGCCAGCCACCAAUUUAUAUGAGGACACCUACGGACGCCACACAACAUCACCAAACCCAGACAUAGCCCAGUGCAGCUCCCUGGGAAACUGGAGUCAAUUCCUGGGAAAGUCAAGCGCAGAAGAAGGUUCUGAGCCCGAGGGAGGCUGAGACCCGCCCAGAGGUAGCGAGCCAUGGAGCUGAGGCUGCAGCCCGAGGUCCCUUCUCCUCAGCCUCCCCGGUUGUCAGGGCACCCCGUGCCGCGGUCACACGGUGGUGAAGGGAUAGGUGUUUGGGGCACCAGUGAGCAAGCUGCGUACGUGAGUGUGUACAUAAUUUUGCACAUGCGCUUGGCCUUUAGAGUUGACCCCAAGGAUAACUCUACAUGUCCUACAGUGCUUCCAGAGACAGCAAUACUGGGCCAGAAACUGCCCCUAAAUUACUCCCGGGAGCACCAAGAGCCGCUUCUCCGUACUCCUCAAAUCCUCGUGAGAUGCAGCUGCCCUGUGUUUGCCUCCACCUGCAAAUAUUGACACAGCAGCUGCCGGGUUCAGUGGAGCAUAAGGUACUGAGGACCCGAGACAUUGCCCUCCUGGGAGAGCUUCCUGGGUGGUCUGUGAACCAGGGCCCGGUGGCUCAUGCCUGUAAUCCCAGCACUUUGGGAGGCUGAGGUGGGAGGAUCACUGGAGCCCAGGAGUUUGAGAGCAGUGUGGGUAAUGUAGCAAGACCCCAUCUGUACAAAAAAAUAAAAUUGGCUGGGCUGCUGGUGUACACCUGUAGUCCCAGCUACCCACGAGGCUGAGGAGGGAGGAUCACUUGGGCUCAGGAGGCAGAGGCUGCAGUGAGCUGUGAUCACACCACUGCACUCCAGCCUGGGCGACAGGGCUGUCUCAAAAAAGAACAGCGUGGCACUGGCUGUGACUGAGGAGACCAGCCACACAUGCCCAGCCCCUUCAAAUUCUGCCCCCUGCAAGAGGUCUCCUCUGACCACUGGAUCAGCAGCGCCUCAUCACCCUCUGCCUUGUCACACCUGCCUGUCCUCGUGGCUCUGACCACUCGCUAAAGCAUUGUUUAUUGUCGGCACUCUCCACCACAUAAGCAUCGUUGGGGCAGGCAUCUGCAUCUCCCCAGUGCACAGCCUUUUAAAAUACAGGUUUUGGCCGGGCGCGGUGGCUCAUGCCUGUAAUCCCAGCACUUUGGGAGGGUGAGGCGGGUGGAUCACCUGAGCUCAGGAGUUUGAGACCAGCCUGGCCAACAUGGUGAAACCCCGUCUGUACUAAAAACACAAAAAUUAGCCGGGUGUGGUGGUAGGCACCUGUAGUCCCAGCUACUCAGGAGACUGAGACAGGAGAAUCGCCUGAACACAGAGAUGGAGGGUGCAGUGAGCUGAGGUCGCACCACUGCACUCCAGCCUGUGUGACAGAGCGAGACUCCAUAAAAAAAAAAAAAAAAAGCAGGUUUUGGCCGGGCACGGUAGCUCACGCCAGUAGUCCCCGCAC